rnacentral:rRNA from 1 species
CUACGGGACGCUCCAGUGGGGAAUAUUGGACAAUGGGCGAAAGCCUGAUCCAGCCAUGCCGCGUGAGUGAUGAAGGCCUUAGGGUUGUAAAGCUCUUUUACCAGGGAAGAUAAUGACUGUACCUGGAGAAUAAGCCCCGGCUAACUUCGUGCCAGCAGCCGCGGUAAUACGAAGGGGGCUAGCGUUGUUCGGAAUCACUGGGCGUAAAGCGCACGUAGGCGGAUUCUUAAGUCAGGGGUGAAAGCCUGAGGCUCAACCUCAGAACUGCCUUUGAUACUGGGAAUCUUGAGUAUGGUAGAGGUCGGUGGAACAGCAAGUGUAGAGGUGAAAUUCGUAGAUAUUUGCUAGAACACCAGUGGCGAAGGCGGCCGACUGGACCAUAACUGACGCUGAGGUGCGAAAGCGUGGGGAGCAAACAGGAUUAGAUACCCCAGUAGUC